GUGGAUAUAGCUCAGUCGGUUAGAGUAUUGGUUUGUCACACCAAUGGUCGCGGGUUCAAGUCCCGUUAUCCACA
rnacentral:tRNA from 1 species